GGGCGAAUAGCUCAGGGGUAGAGCACCUUCCUUACAAGAAGGGGGUCACAGGUUCGAGCCCUGUUUCGCCCACCA
rnacentral:tRNA from 1 species